rnacentral:rRNA from 1 species
GCUUGUCUCAAAGAUUAAGCCAUGCAUGUCUAAGUAUAAACGACUUUAUACUGUGAAACUGCGAAUGGCUCAUUAUAUCAGUUAUAGUUUAUUUGAUGGUUCUUACUACUUGGAUAACCGUAGUAAUUCUAGAGCUAAUACAUGCAUAAAACCCUAACUUCUGGAAAGGGUGUAUUUAUUAGAUGGAAACCAAUGCGGGGUAACCCGGAAUAUGGUGAUUCAUAAUAACUUUCGGAUCGAUUUAUCGAUGCAUCAUUCAAGUUUCUGCCCUAUCAGCUUUGGAUGGUAGGGUAUUGGCCUACCAUGGCUUUAACGGGUAACGGAGAAUUAGGGUUCGAUUCCGGAGAGGGAGCCUGAGAAACGGCUACCACAUCCAAGGAAGGCAGCAGG